AUGUGUUCAAAAGUAUCACAUUACAAACAGACAAACACAGAAAUGCCAUCACACUGAGUGUAAGGCCUUCGCAAGCUCAGCCAGCAAGAUGUUCACGAAGCAUCAGAUGAAGAUGAAAGAAUUUGAAGAGUAGGGAAAACAUAGACGUAUGAGAAGGAAUAACCUUCACUGUGCACCUCUCAGUAAUGGGAUGUUCAUAGAAUGACUGCAAGAGAGAGAGAAAUGGGAAGAGGAAGCAAGUACCACCCACCUACCCUAGGGAUAUUAUAAAGUCGACUUUCAGCCCUGCUGCAUGAACCAGCUUCCUUUCACUUUUUUCCCUGAGCCAGCUUCCCUGCAUUAGGAGAGGUUCAUGAUUCUGGAGCAGCAGAAGAGAUGCUGGUCACAAAAGAAGGGCUCUACCAUUGCUGUGUAGGAACUUGCAUAACACCUGUGAGCAGCAUGACUGGAAUUCUGGGCCAUAAAAACAAGAUUGGAAGAGGAAAACAAGCUCUCCUGCUUUUUCAAUUCCUGAUUGGUGUCUCAACUUUGAAUGCACUAGACAUUGAACUGAACUGGUUGAAUAAACUGAAAUAAAGAAAAUAUUCUUGCUGAAGGAGCUACUGCUGUCAAAAAGCUGGUUUUGCACUUAACAAACUCUGCUUCCAAGUGAUUAGCCAGUGAUUUCCAUCAGUUAAGUGGUUUGACUUUAAA